rnacentral:lncRNA from 1 species
GCACCAGGCCAAAAGUCCAUGAACAAAAGAAUUCUCUUAUAAAUAGGUAUAUCUUGUGACGUGGAUCAAAAUCACAUGUCUAAUGGUUUAUACAAAUGGCACAAUUAUCUAUCAGUUUAGUUCUGAACACAUUUAGAGUAAGACAAAUUAAUACCCUGUCUUUGUUUGAUACAAAUACUGCACAAAGAUAGCAAUAUUAGGAGGUCAAUUGCAGGAAAUGUCAAUCAUUCAUAGGUAUAAACCACUG